rnacentral:lncRNA from 1 species
CCUUUUCAGACAGUGUUUUGAUUCUUACAACUAUGGAUGGUGAUGAGUUCACACGUCCAGUGAAUGCCGAUGUAGUCAAGAAAUACUUCGCCUAAAAAAAAGGAAAAAAUAACUCGCUAAGUUGAAAACUCGAAAGGGCGGCUUAGAUAAAAAUGAGCGCCUCGGUGGAUUGAAAACCCGAAAGGGCGAUCUAGGAAAAAAUUAGAGACAUACAACAAAAAAU